rnacentral:rRNA from 1 species
CAGCGACCGCGCGUGCGGAUGAAGGCUUCGGGUUGUAAACCGCUUUCAGCAGGGAAGAAGCGAAAGUGACGGUACCUGCAGAAGAAGCACCGGCUAACUAUGUGCCAGCAGCCGCGGUAAUACAUAGGGUGCAAGCGUUGUCCGGAAUUAUUGGGCGUAAAGAGCUCGUAGGUGGUUCGUCACGUCGGAUGUGAAACUCUGGGGCUUAACCCCAGACCUGCAUUCGAUACGGGCGAGCUUGAGUAUGGUAGGGGAGUCUGGAAUUCCUGGUGUAGCGGUGGAAUGCGCAGAUAUCAGGAGGAACACCAAUGGCGAAGGCAGGACUCUGGGCCAUUACUGACACUGAGGAGCGAAAGCGUGGGGAGCGAACAGGAUUAGAUACCCUGGUAGUCCACGCCGUAAACGGUGGGCACUAGUUGUGGGGACCUUCCACGGUCUCUGCGACGCAGCUAACGCAUUAAGUGCCCGCU